rnacentral:rRNA from 5 species
GUUGGUGCUUAUAGCGAUGGGGGUACACCCGAUUCCAUUCCGAACUCGGAAGUUAAGCCCAUCAGCCCCGAUGGUACUUGGUCCGCAAGGUCCUGGGAGAGUAGGACAGCGCCAACA